rnacentral:rRNA from 1 species
GCCUACGACCAUACCACCAUGAAUACACCGGUUCUCGUCCGAUCACCGAAGUUAAGNAUGGUAGGGCCGGGUCAGUACCUGGAUGGGUGACCGCCUGGGAACACCCGGUGUUGUAGGCNU